AAAAAGAGAAGCAGGAAACAGGUUUCAGACGGUGCCAAGCAGAACUGAAUAAGACCUUGGCCCAGGGAUCUUGGAUGGAGGCGUGGAGGAAUGGGAGGCACCCUGCUGUGGGGCAGCAGCUGAAGGCACUUUUUCUCGCUUCACAUUUCCCAGGGUGCAUUCUGCCUCCAUACCGCAUUCGACUCAUUGGGAAAAUGGAAUGAGUAGAUGAGUAAUACUUGACCCUGUAUGAGCACUUAUAGCUACACAAAUUCAAUCAUGUCUCUGAAACCCACGUAGGCGCCUGGUCUUGGCGAUGACCUAUACAAAUGAAAGUAAUGCUAUUAUGAAGUUUCGUCUUCAAGGAGAAUAAUUACAUCAUGGCCAUUUCUUUCCCUAUUAAAUUAUGGCCAGCUGUCCCUUAAUAAAAAAUCAAAAGAAGGCCUCUACAUUUACUGUAGGCCCGAGGUAAUGUUUUCCCCAAACCCCAGCCACGUGUUUCCAUGGAGACAGAGAUCAUUGUAAAACAGAGAUAUCUCAAGAUUGUGAAGAGGCAUUGAUGAUCUUUAACCUUCUAUAAGGGCUGAGCUCUUCCACAGCUGCUGCUGUUUUACAGAACAAACUGCUGAGACUGGAGGAGACUUUAGAGGUCAGCUGGUUCCUACAUCAGAGGCUUGACUCCCCAUUCUCAUUACAGCUGUGCCUUCCUUCUGCAAAACCACAGUUAAGCCAGACUAGCACAGGGUCCACUUACCACAGGGUUGGAAGUGUGUGGCCAUACAACUGCCAAAGUUCUGGACCCAUCAAUUAGUUCUUGCUACAGUAUUUUCAAGCUUGGAAAAGUCUCAGCUUUGGGAUAAGGUAUCAGGAGGCAAGAAUGCAGUCAGGACCCUCAAUCUGCCAUCUAACAUGACUUCAGGUAUCUGAGAUUUUGAAAAUGAAGUGUGGUUCAAGUCCAAGGUUUGAUCGUGCCAAGGGUGCUAAAGGUAAGGUAAGUAAUGGAUUUUUUUUUCUUUAAGUUUUUGCAGUCAAGGAACUGUGUGUUGAAUGGUUACCCAUCAUGGAAACUCUCUGAUAUCCGUUUGCCUGCUAGAGCUGAGGGGUACAUAGGAAGGUUGCCGAGCAUGAGCUGACGCCUUUGAGGAACGUCAGGGAGUGAUGUGAGUGUUGACAGACAAUGGCAUUAAGAAGAGAGAAAGAAUGCGUCUUUUUUUUUUAAGAG